UACGGGGGGGGCAAGCGUUGUUCGGAAUUACUGGGCGUAAAGGGCUCGUAGGUGGUCAACUAAGUCGGACGUGAAAUCCCUCGGCUUAACCGGGGAACUGCGUCCGAUACUGGAUGACUUGAGUUCGGGAGAGGGAUGCGGAAUUCCAGGUGUAGCGGUGAAAUGCGUAGAUAUCAGGAGGAACACCUGUGGCGAAAGCGGCUCACUGGACCAUAACUGACGCUGAUGCACGAAAGCUAGGGGAGCAAACAGG
rnacentral:rRNA from 1 species